rnacentral:rRNA from 1 species
UUUCUAUGGUCAUUCAAGUACCAAGUAAAAGUCGUUAUCUUGUCUCCGUUGGUGACCAGCGGAGGGAUCAUUACCGAGUUUACAACUCCCAAACCCCUGUGAACAUACCUUAUGUUGCCUCGGCGGAUCAGCCCGCGCCCCGUAAAAAGGGACGGCCCGCCGCAGGAACCCUAAACUCUGUUUUUAGUGGAACUUCUGAGUAUAAAAAACAAAUAAAUCAAAACUUUCAACAACGGAUCUCUUGGUUCUGGCAUCGAUGAAGAACGCAGCAAAAUGCGAUAAGUAAUGUGAAUUGCAGAAUUCAGUGAAUCAUCGAAUCUUUGAACGCACAUUGCGCCCGCCAGUAUUCUGGCGGGCAUGCCUGUUCGAGCGUCAUUUCAACCCUCAAGCCCAGCUUGGUGUUGGGAGCUGCAGUCCUGCUGCACUCCCCAAAUACAUUGGCGGUCACGUCGAGCUUCCAUAGCGUAGUAAUUUACAUAUCGUUACUGGUAAUCGUCGCGGCCACGCCGUUAAACCCCAACUUCUGAAUGUUGACCUCGGAUCAGGUAGGAAUACCCGCUGAACUAAGCAUAUCAUAAACGAGAAAA